rnacentral:rRNA from 1 species
UACGUAGGGUGCAAGCGUUGUCCGGAAUUAUUGGGCGUAAAGAGCUCGUAGGCGGUCUGUCGCGUCUGCUGUGAAAACUCGGGGCUUAACUCCGGAAGUGCCACAGAAACGGUCAGACUUCGAGUACUGGAGAGGUGAGUGGAAUUCCCGGUGUAGCGGUGAAAUGCGUAGAUAUCUGGAGGAACACCGGUGGCGAAGGCGGCAUCCUGGACCGGUAUUGACGCUGAUGCGCGAAAGCCAGGGGAGCAAACGGG